CCUACGGGGGGCAGCAGUGAGGAAUAUUGGUCAAUGGACGAGAGUCUGAACUAGCCAAGUAGCGUGAAGGAUGACUGCCCUAUGGGUUGUAAACUUCUUUUAUAUGGGAAUAAAACGUUCCACUUGUGGGAUUUUGUAUGUACCAUAUGCAUAAGAAUCGGCUAACUCCGUGCCAGCCGCCGCGGUAAUACGGGGGAUCCGAUGGUUAUCCGAAUUUAUUGGGGUUAAUGGGAGCGUAGGUGGAUUGUUAAGUCAGUUGUGAAAGUUUGCGGCUCAACCGUAAAAUUGCAGUUGAAACUGGCAGUCAGGAGUACAGUAGGGGUGGGAGGAAUUCGGGUGUAGCGGUGAAAUGCUUAGAGAUCACGAAGAACUCCGAUUGCGAAGGCAGUUCACUGGACUGAAACUGACACUGAGGCUCGAAAGUGUGGGUAGCAAACAGGAUUAGAUACCCUUGUAGUC
rnacentral:rRNA from 1 species